UAGCGCACUCUUUUAGAGUGAGCGGCAAACGGGUGAGUAACGCGUGGGAAUCUACCCAUCUCUACGGAAUAACACAGAGAAAUUUGUGCUAAUACCGUAUACGUCCUUUUUGGAGAAAGAUUUAUCGGAGAUGGAUGAGCCCGCGUUGGAUUAGCUAGUUGGUGAGGUAAAGGCUCACCAAGGCGACGAUCCAUAGCUGGUCUGAGAGGAUGAUCAGCCACACUGGGACUGAGACACGGCCCAGACUCCUACGGGAGGCAGCAGUGGGGAAUAUUGGACAAUGGGGGCAACCCUGAUCCAGCCAUG
rnacentral:rRNA from 1 species